AAGGCAGAUCGUUCUAUCGCUAUGCGCUCAAACGCAGAGAGGAAAGUCCGGGCAACAUAGAGCAUCCUGCUUCCUAACGGGAAGGCGCCUUCAGUGGGCGACAGCAAGUGCCACAGAGAAUAUACCGCCACGGCGUUAAAACCGGGGUAAGGGUGAAAAUGUGAGGUAAGAGCUCACAGCUAUGUAUGGCGACAUGCAUUGCGGUAAACCUCAGGAGUUGAAAAACCAAAUAGGUCCCGAAAGUGAGGCUGCUCGCUUCCGUGUGGUUCGUUUAGGCGGGCCAACGUUGGGAUGGGUAGGUUGAUAGAGCCGGACAGCAAUGUACGGAGCAGAUUAAUGAUAGAAACCCGGGAAACCGGAGGACAGAACCCGGCUUACAGAUGUGCUACUGAA
rnacentral:RNase_P_RNA from 2 species